rnacentral:tRNA from 1 species
GCCUCUAUAGCUCAGUUGGCAGAGCAUUUGCUUAGUAAGCAAAAGGUCUCCGGUUCAAACCCGGAUGGAGGCU